rnacentral:rRNA from 1 species
UAGGUACACAUGCAGUCGUGCGAGAAAGUAUCUUCGGAUAUGAGUAGAGCGGCGGACGGGUGAGUACGCGUAGGAAUCUACCUAGUAGAAGGGGAUAGCCCGGGGAAACCCGGAUUAAUACCGUAUACCUCCUUCGGGAGAAAGAAGGCCUCUCUUUGAAGCUUUCGCUAUUAGAUGAGCCUGCGUAAGAUUAGCUUGUUGGUGAGGUAAAGGCUCACCAAGGCGACGAUCUUUAGCUGGUCUGAGAGGACGAUCAGCCACAUUGGGACUGAGACACGGCCCAGACUCCUACGGGAGGCAGCAGUGGGGAAUAUUGGACAAUGGGCGCAAGCCUGAUCCAGCCAUACCGCGUGUGUGAAGAAGGCCUUCGGGUUGUAAAGCACUUUAAGCAGGGAGAAAAAGUUAUAAGUUAAUACCUUAUAACCGUGAUGUUACCUGCAGAAUAAGCACCGGCUAAUUCCGUGCCAGCAGCCGCGGUAAUACGGAAGGUGCAAGCGUUAAUCGGAAUUACUGGGCGUAAAGCGCGCGUAGGUGGUUUGUUAAGUUGGAUGUGAAAGCCCUG